UCCAGACUCCUACGGGAGGCAGCAGUGGGGGAUAUUGCACAAUGGGGGGAACCCUGAUGCAGCGACGCCGCGUGGGUGAAGGAGCGUUUCGGCGCGUAAAGCCCUAUCGGCAGGGAAGAAGGAGGACGGUACCUGACUAAGAAGCCCCGGCUAACUACGUGCCAGCAGCCGCGGUAAUACGUAGGGGGCGAGCGUUAUCCGGAAUUACUGGGUGUAAAGGGGGCGCAGACGGCAGCGCAAGCCAGGAGUGAAAGCCCGGGGCCCAACCCCGGGACUGCUCUUGGAACUGCGCGGCUGGAGUGCAGGAGGGGCAGGCAGAAUUCCUGGUGUAGCGGUGAAAUGCGUAGAUAUCAGGAGGAGCACCGGUGGCGAAGGCGGCCUGCUGGACUGCGACUGACGUUGAGGCCCGAAGGCGUGGGGAGCAAACAGGAUUAGAUACCCGAGUA
rnacentral:rRNA from 1 species